UCCCCCGAAAUGUUGUUGCUUGAAUAAGAGCUCUUCCCUCUCUUCUACACUGUAAUACUCGGCUCUUUUCUCUCUCCUUAUUUUCUCAACCGCACUCUCAGCCAUGGCACCCUUAGAGUAGAAGCACAAUGGAGAUGAUAAUGGAGAUUCGGAACAAUAUUGAGAUUCAAAUUAAAGAAGGUGGGGAAACGACUGAUGGAAGUGGCACUUCUGGUUAAUGUUUGGUUUUUUAAGUUGUGGAAAUUGAAUACGGUUUAUGGGUAUGCAGGGAUGACCUAUCUUUGAAUAACGAGGUUGUAAAAUAUCCUCUCUCUUUUUUCAUGAAUAUCGGAUUACAUACGGACACCUUAGCUCAUCUGAUUCAAAUUCUAGUAUGGUGCUGUCAUGCCCUCAUGGUUUGACAUUCCUGAGAUACCAGUGACGGCUGUAAGUUACUCAUUUUAGUCAUUCUUGUUAGUUGUUAGAUUUUCCUCUUCACUGUGUGACUUUCAUUAAUUAUCAUUUGUCACCUUUUUACCUUUCCCACGGCCCCACCUAAACUAUAGUCAAAUAGACAUGCUCACAUGCUUAUCAUCCAAUGCCUUGUACAAACUCCAAACAAAGAUAUUGAAAUGGCGUAGGUGUAGCAUCACCCAAUUCUCCAGACAUGUCUACAUAGCUUCUUAUAGGUGUCAAGAAUAGUUGUAUAACGGAUUUCGCUUAGGCUUGUCACUAACCAAUUCUAAGAGAACCCUAACAAUAUGACAACCCAAGGAAGUUGGAUUUCUGAUUCUGAUUAUGGCAACUUGAUGGCUUGAUGUUUCAAUGUCUUAUAGGUCUCGUGCAAUAGGCUUGAAAUGCUUUGGCAGUGACUAGGAUACUAUACCUUUCUUUCCAUUAUUUUUUUUCCUCACAUCCUCUCCCAUUCAAUUAAAAAAAUACUCCACUAAUUCCUAUAUAUCUACUUUUUCGAUAAAAUAACAUAUAAGUCUGACGGGGUUCCAUUAUAAAAUCAACCAAUCUAUAUGUUAGUCAAUCUCCCUCUAUUUCUUCCACAUGGGACAAUUUGUCCCAACUCACAUGUUCGUUAAUCUUCUCAACAAGCUUUACCAUUGAUUUUCUCCACCCCUUUUCACACACUUUUAAGCUAUUUACCGAAGGAAAUAAUGCCCUUGGUCCAAGUAUGCAUAUAAUAUUAAGUCUAAUAAAUGCGGUUCAGUAUUAAUUAACAAGUUAAUAAUUCAGUGAGAUCAAGUGAGCUGAAUGCCUAGCUAGAGCCCGCUUCAGUUCAAGUGGAAUUAAUUAUAUUAACGGAUUUUUCAUGAAAUGCCCCCUGAGGUUUGUCUUAAUGCACCAAAUACCCCUAAACUUUUCAGAAUGCACCAAAUACCCCUGAGAUUUUAAACAAUAACACAAAAUGCCCUUAGUGGGCAUUUUCCGUCCAUUCCGUUAAGUCACCGUUAACAUUAAUUUUUUUUUUUCCUCUUUUUUUUUUUUAAUUCUCUGUCUCUUUCUCUUUCCUUUUUCAAUCUUCAUGAACUUCACUCACAACCACCACCAAGCCACCACCAAACCCCAUUAUUUCACCUGAACUCAAGGAGAAGCUUUCUACUACUCCCCUUUCAAAGAUUCAACUCAAACUCAAACAAACACAUUCGAUUUUCCUCUCUUCUCAAAAUUCAUAUCUACAACACAAGCCCUAACAAAAAAAUUGAUCCCCAAAUCGGGGAUUUCAAUCUAGCAUUGCUGCUCGUCGUAAUAAUCGGAACGGAGGGGGAAGUGCAGGGGAAGGAAAUGUCGCCGACGAGGAAGGGGGAAUGGGGUUUGGUGGUGGCGGCAGUGAGGAGCAGUGAGGAAG